rnacentral:rRNA from 1 species
UACAGAGGUCUCAAGCGUUGUUCGGAUUCAUUGGGCGUAAAGGGUGCGUAGGCGGCGCGGUAAGUCGGGUGUGAAAUCUCGGAGCUUAACUCCGAAACUGCAUUCGAUACUGCCGUGCUUGAGGACUGGAGAGGAGACUGGAAUUUACGGUGUAGCGGUGAAAUGCGUAGAUAUCAAGAGGAACACCUGCGGCGAAGGCGGGUUGCUGGGCCGACACUGACGCUGAGGCGCGAAAGCUAGGGGAGCGAACGGG